GAUGAACGCUGGCGGCGUGCCUAAUACAUGCAAGUCGAGCGAACAGACGAGGAGCUUGCUCCUCUGACGUUAGCGGCGGACGGGUGAGUAACACGUGGAUAACCUACCUAUAAGACUGGGAUAACUUCGGGAAACCGGAGCUAAUCCCGGAUAAUAUAUUGAACCGCAUGGUUCAAUAGUGAAAGACGGUUUUGCUGUCACUUAUAGAUGGAUCCGCGCCGCUUUAGCUAGUUGGUAAGUUAACGCCUUACCAAGGCAACGAUGCGUAGCCGACCGGAGAGGGUGAUCGGCCACACUGGAACUGAGACACGGACAAGACGCCUACGGGAGGCAGCAGUAGGGAAUCGUCCGCAAUGGGCGAAAGCCUGACGGAGCAACGCCGCGUGAGUGAUGAAGGUCUUCGGAUCGUAAAACUCUGUUAUUAGGGAAGAACAAAUGUGUAAGUAACUAUGCACGUCUUGACGGUACCUAAUCAGAAAGCCACGGCUAACUACGUG
rnacentral:rRNA from 1 species